rnacentral:ncRNA from 1 species
GGUUUAAUUCGAUACAACGCGCAAAACCUUACCAGCCCUUGACAUAUGAACAACAAAACCUGUCCUUAACAGGAUGGUACUGACUUUGAUACAGGUGCUGCAUGGCUGUCGUCAGCUCGUGUCAUGAGAUGUUUGGUCAAGUCCUAUAACGAGCAAAACCCUCGUUUUGUGUUGCUGAGACAUACGCCUAAGGAGAAAUUGCCACCGAGUGACGUGCCAGCGCUACUACUUGAUUGAGUGCCAGCACGUAGCUGUGCUUUCAGCAAGAAUUUCAC